rnacentral:lncRNA from 1 species
UAUAGAAGUGUGAUUAAACUGAACCUUAUCUUUCUGUGGAAGAAGACAUUAUUAGUAUUAACAUUGCUGAAAUAUAGAAUUGCAGUGUUAGUAUUAAAAGAGAGAAGGUUUCAAAAACUGUAGUAGGGGUUCUUGGUAACUAAAGAGUUAGCUUCAGCUCUUGUUUUGCCUUAAUUUUGACAGGUAAAAGGGUGAAAGUGGCUGCGUGGAAGACAUAAGGGAAGACAUUUUUGGAAGAAUGAUGACCUAUACAACCUCAGCAUAUCCUUCUUGUAACUCAUGGGUAUCAAGACUAUAAAUGUUUCAUGUAUCACAACUAGGACCUCACAUCCUCUUCCUCCUCCUCCUCUGUAGAUGGGUACGAUGCAUCCAGUUCAGUUUGUUUACUUUACACAAACCUCAGGAGUUCGUUGACUGAACUGCACAUUCUUUGUUGUGCCAUGCAAAAGCACUGUGACACCUGGACAAUGAGUCUUUUACUUCAUCCUCUGCUAUACAGACUUAGCUGGCCACAAUGAACUGAUGUGCCCACCACUGUGUCAUGGUAUUUUCAAUAUCUUCACCUCCAAAAUCCCACUGGGACAAGAAAUAGAGAUGCCAGAAUAUCACAAGGAAUAUUGCAGAGUAAUCUUGCUCCAAUUGGACAUGGGAGCUACAGGCAAGCACAGAAAUAAUCAGCCCAGCUUUGGUGCCUUUUGCAAUGUAAGUUGCUUUCCCUGUUGGUUGGCUGUGCCUGUUUCAGGGUAA